rnacentral:lncRNA from 1 species
GGUGGAAUCUGCUUUUAGAAGAGGCAAUCUGGUUUAGGGGAAGAAGAUGCAGACGUUCGUACGGGGCAGACCUGGGUGUGGGUCCUUCUUUGGGUUUGCUGCUUAGUGGUUAGGAGGUCUGGAAUGACUUAUUUAGUGUCACUGGGCGUUAGUCUUUCAUCUGUAAAAAUGGGACACUAAAACACACCUCACAGAGUAGUAGAGAGGUUUAUAUAUAAUACAGGUGAGGUGUGUGGACCACAAGAAGCGCUCAGCAAAUGGUAACGGCUGUUACCAUAGAUGGUUGUCAGCGGACCCACAACUAGCACUUGGGGAACCACAUGUUGGUCAUCUGCUACCCAGACUAUAAUUCUCCCUCGUAGAACAGAUACGUAAUUUUAGUCCACCAGUUACGGCGGGGUGACAGCUCAGAUAUACAGCCUCCGAUUCAAGUGACACUCAGCAGGGCGCGUUCGGGGAGGGCAUUCGCAUCCAGAUCCGCCAUGACUCAGGUAUCCGUUGCUGGCUUCUGUUCGGGCCAGGAGGCUGUCCACCAACACGCACUGACAUGGGCCCGAAGGUGUUUUCCCAGAACGUAAGCAUCUAAUCAAUGACCGUGUAUGUAUUUUCACUGCUGAAAGAAAGCACCGUUGGCCCUUUUUAAAGUGCUGGCAAGCGUUUUUGUGACAGGAAGCAGAGGCUCCUGUGUGGAAGACCGCUCCGGCCUUGAUUUCUGGGCUGUGUGCACGCGUGCGCCCGUGCGCCCGUUUCUUCUUCUGCAGGGAUGCACGGGACUUUUGUGUCACUCUCCAAAACAGAACUCCAAAGUAGGUCGGUAAAGGAGCAGUGAAAUAGGUCAGUUGCCGUAAAUCGAAGCAGAAGAAGGGGGUGGGGUUCAGCUCCAGAGAGGGUGCAUGUUUAGACCCUUGAUGCCUGUUUCUCUUAAGGCCUGAAGGACCGCCCUUUAGGGGGUGGGAGGGUGACACUGACACUCUGUUGUCCCAUUGCUUUCUUUCUCCAGGAUGGUCACCUCUAGGAUGGAGACCGUGGUCGCGGGUCAUGGGGACCAAGCCGGCAGAUGGAAGCCUGAUGUCAUCAGGAUGCCUAACACAGGACGGGGGACAACAUUCUUUCGGGGGAUGAUGAAGCGGGGUACUUUCUUGCCUCCGUGAAGGUGGAUAAGCAGCUGACUUUGAGUAGCAAAACCACACUAUUGGUAACGCUUCUGGUAUUCCCAUGCAGUGCAGUUGGUCAUGGGAUCUGGUUCCACAUCACCCCCACCCAGAGUGAGGCUGCCAUUCCCCCUGUGCUGCUGGAAAUGUGCCUAGAAGGAUUAGGCUGCGGCAAUGGCUUUUCCCUGACUUUAACGGUCCCCUCUUCAAUGAUACAUUGCUUCCUCAUCACUGUGGGUCAUUUUUCCAUAUGGCACACAAGACUGUCUGCAUCCUGCCCCCAAGACAGACAGCAUUUUCCUGAAGGUGCCGGGGUUUGAUUUCCCAAUACUAGAUGUUGUAAGGUUUCUUGGCACUCUACCAGGUAGAAGGGGCUCUCUAAUGGAUUAUAAGGAAGAAAAACGAAAAACAAACACAUCAACUUUGAUUUUGUGACCACGGCCCUUCCAUGUGACUUUCUGAGUUAUUACCAGCACACAUUUCUGGUUUCGAAUUAUUCUGACUCAUGCUGUUAUUUAUUUUUUCCAUUGUUGGCAAUAGCUCUACAUAACCACAAUCUUUAUCCAUUGUCUGAUUACUAGCACAAAACAGUUUGAGGUUGUUUGGAGUUUUAAAACGGUUUGAUUUUCUCUUACAUUUAAAAACAGCACCAGAAGUAACAGACUGAGUUAAAAGUGGAAGAUUUGAGAAAAUAAAACAUGUCCUGAUACAGACUGCUAGCACUGUGGAAAUCAGUCCUAACUUGAUUUGCAAUGGUAAUGGGCCUUAACUGGACUAAUUACAGAGGUUAUUGGCGGAAUGGCUUGGGAAAGAAAUGAAAUAUUGCCUACUUAUCUUCUUGGACCUCAGCAAUAAAUAUGCUUACAUGGGAUCACUAUCCUUGAGCCUGGCCUGGCAGGCUGUAUGGAGAGCAAAAGUCUUAAAGACCCAAGUGGGAACACAGUCACACAUUGGUUCAUUUAUCCACUGAACCAGAAAUUGCUGGGCCUUCUUUUUUUUUUUUUUGCCAGGCCCUGGGCGAGGCAUGGGCAUAUCAGAUAUAAUAGUAACAGGUCAAGGGGCCCUACCUCUGAGGGGCUCCCCAUCCAGUAAGGCAGCCAGGCUCGCAUAACAAUAAUUAUGGUACAAAGUGGUAAGCCUGAUGUCAGCAGUGGAGACACAGAACGAGAGUUAAGUCUCCAUUUUGCUUGGAGUAGUAGAAAAAAACAGUGCGGAGGAAAUGGCGCCACUCUGGGCUUUGAAGGGCGGAUCAGAAAGGAGAAGGGCAUUCAGACAUUAAGAGAAGCAUGGACAGCCAAGAAGUGUUAAACACUUUGAAAACGUCCAGUGGUCCCACGUGGCUAAAGGAUGGGGCCGGGGAGGGGGUGGGGGGAGGAGGGAGAUGAGGUUGGGAACUCUGGCGGUUCUCAAAUCCCAAAAGGCCUUGAGUAUCCCGCGAAGGAGGUUUGAUGUGUUACUAAAGGCCAUGAGGACUCAGCGAAGUUUUGUCUGAUUUUCAUCUUAAAGGUGCUUUUGCAACAGCAGGAGCUGGAAUGAGAGCAAAUCGAGCUCGAGGGGCCUGAGACUGUCAUCCAGGGGAGGCACUGUGGUUACCCGGCCCUGGGGUCAUCCAGGGGAAGCACUGUGAGCCUCAUCAGAGGUAAGCGCCAUGGUUACCUGGCCCUGGGGUCGUCCAGGGGAGGCGCCAUGGUUAUCUGGCCCUGGGGCUGGAGUGGGGGGGGGGUGGUGACGGACUCAGGAGCGAUUCCUGGGGCUGAGUGGAUGGGACUUUAUGACUAAUUGGAAGGGUGUGGUUGAGGGAGAGAGGAAGAAAGAAAGGGUUCAGCAGAGAGGAAAUGAGAUGGAGUAUCGGGGUCUGACACACCCGGCUUCCUAUCCCAGAUGCACUGCUUUUAAAUCUGACCAAGUCACUCUUCAGAGCCUCCCUCUCCUCCUUCAAAAGCAGGGUAAUGAAUAGGACUCUGGAGUCGAUGAGAUCCUGGGGGCCAGGGGGCAGAGCAGACAGAUGCAGGACAGAGGCUGUCCAUUACGACUAUGUUAGGUAGGCUCAGAGCCAUUCUGUCACACAGUUAGGGGGGCAGGAGAGUGGGGGCCGUUGUCUGUGUCCCUCGCCUCCAGCACAGGACACAGAAGGAGCUCUGGGGAUGUUUGCUUAACUACUUUUUAUUCUUCAGCUCAGCAGCCUAGGACAAAGACAGCUGAAUACCCCCUCGGGAAUAUUGCCUAAGAAUAUUAGGCGAUAUUCCUACUCAGGGCAAGGAACCUGGCAGUGUUUAUACAGGGAGGCCGGGGCGCACUUUCUCACUGAUACGGACCUAAGUUGGCAGGCUUGGGGCAGUGGGGCUGGCUGCUCCUGGACCAGGACACGGUGGUAAUGACAAAGGUCAAGUGCUGGGUAACUGCUACAAAAUUAAAGCUCCAUCAGAUCCUAGACCAGAGCUCAGUGCGGGAGGAAGAACAAUGGACCCAAGGCCCUAGAACUCUGAGUUGGCUUUUCUGCAUGAGUCCGGUGAGGAGUAGUUAAUGGGAGAAAGGCCCGCAUAGAAGGAGGCCCAUCAAAGAAGCAUAGAAAACUGAGAUCCAGGGCGCCGGCUGAAGUAGAUACAGUGAAAAGGAGGGCUGCACUGCCACAGUCAAGGGAUGCCGGGGAUGCGAUGGAGGGCCGGCCUCCCCGGUGCUGCCCGGAAUAGUUCCUCACCCCCAAAGUAGAAAAUAGUCCGGCUCCGAAGAGGAGAGACCCCACCACCGAUAAAGCCGACACAAUAAACCAGCCUCCGCUCCCCGCGGCCUCGUGCAGACCCGUCUUGGAGCUCCGUGGCCACAUUUUGCCUCCACAGUUUAAGAGAAAUCAGGAAACUGGAGAGGCUCCAAAGCAGAGCAAAAAACAUGAUUAAAGAGAGCAAGGAUAGGACCCAUGGGGCGAGUUAAAGAAAUUGGGGUUGAUUUGCCUAAAACAGUAAAGACGAAAGGGGGACUGUAUUCCAAUACAUAGAGGGGGGCCGGUGCCCAGUUAUUUUCCAAUUUCAAGAGCACAGACUAAGAGGCAAACGGCCUAAUUUGCCACAAGAGAGAUUAGGUAAAGGAGGAGUUUCAGAAACAUAUGCACGUCUUGGAAUGGCCUUCCCUGGGGUUAUUGUAAAAUAGGGCCGGCCCCUCCCUGGGAGGAAGCCUACUGGGGACUAGGCCAGACUGAUUAUGGAGGGCCUGGCUUGUCUCCAGAGGCCCCACCAAUCCCAGCUCGCCUGGCUUCUGGGAACCCAUGCAUCUUUCCAGAGCAGAAACCUGAGGAGGGAGUGGCCGCCUUGACGGGUGGGAAGCUUUUGUGCUUCUCCUGAUGGGUCCCUCCAUCCAAGAGCAGGCAUGACCUUUUCAUCUCCUUUUCUCUUUGAUGUGUUCAAGACACGUCGACAGCAAACGCCUGCAGGUUCUUAGGCAGCUGGUAAAAAAUGUAUCACAACUUCCGGAAAGUGGCUGUUUAGAUCAGAUCGCUGCCAUCUGAUUCGCAAAUACUCCGAGAAGCUGGUGAAACUCCACACCCCUGGAUGGCGUGCUCUGCUGGUCAUGGCUGUCCUGGUGGCUAUACCGUCCGUCACUGUGGCUUCAAUCACAUGUUCAACCGUCCUUCAUAGAAGGAACUGAGUCAAGCUGUAGAACCAAGCUUGUGCGCUCGCCUCCCCCUCCUGCGCCCUCUCGCCACAUAAAAGGCGUGUCAAUCUGCAGAUGGGAUGACGGUACGAUUUGUUCACAAACCGGGUCGCCUGUGACAGUAAAUGGAAGGUACUUCGACAGUCAUGCUGCUAUUUAGCUGAGGCCUAGGGCCAUCUGUCUGUAACUUGUACUCAAAGCUCAAACAAGGGAGGUGCCCUUCAUAGUGAAAUCCUUUCUAGUGGAAAUGGAAUGUUUGCUUUGUGAAACGCCGAUUAACUACUACUGCUCAGCAAACCACCCUCCCCUCCCGCCCCCCCUCCCCAAUAAGUGGCUCAAAACAAUAAACGUCCAUUAUCUCGUGCAGUGUCUGUGGCUGAGGGUGGCUGGGCCGUGGGGUCCCUCAGAUACUGCCCUGGGCCUGCCAUCAUUGAAAAAUUUGACUGGGCUGGAAGAUGGCUUCCAUGAAGGCUCAUUCACGUGGCUGAUGACAGGAGACCUCCCUAUCCUAUCUCAGUUCUUCCCCGUUGGACUGCUGGAAAGUCCUCGUGACAGCUGGUUUUCUUCGGAGCGAGCGACCUGAGUCACUCCAGCCUUUCAUGCUACAGUCUCAGUCCUGCACGGGCACUUGGGCCAUAUUUUAUUCAUUAGAACGAAUCUCCAAGCCCAGCCCACACGAAAAGGGAAGGGGAUUAAGCUUUAUUUCUUGAAUGAAGGAGGACCUUCAAAUAUUUGGUCAUUCUCGUGAGUUUGUGUUUAUUUUUGAGAUUCUGUUUACCUUUUCUUGAGUGCCGUCUUUUUAUUCACCCUGGCCCAGUGACAGUGGGAAGGGACAGCGGUGGGGGUGGAGGGGGACGUCUCAGCAGCUGGCAUUCUGGCCAUGGGGUGGCUCUCUGUUCCUCCUGGAUAUUGUCAGUCACUUGGGGUACUUAAAAUGGUCUCUCUUGAGUAAUGAGGAAUGAGUUCGCCGUCACAGUAGGUAUACAAGGAAGUCGUGGAUGGUCGGUUGGGCACUGCAGUUGAGUGUAGAUGGGGGUGGAGGGAGCUGGUCCAAAUGACCUUCCAUGUCCCUUCUGACCCGGAGCCCUCUCGAGUCCCUGAUCCCCCCCCCCCCCCCCCACCAAAGCAUUCUUUGUUCAGUGCUCUUGAGUGAGACUGGAGCAGCCUCUUGAGGUGGGGCAUGGGUUCUGGAAGCAAGACCUAUGAAAAGCAAACAGACUCCACGUUAUCGCAGACAGAGAGUCAUGAGUUUCAAGCCCCCGCCACGAGAUGGAAUUAAAAAGGUUUCCAAGAAUCUUAAUCGUGGGGUGACUGUGUUUGUUUACUUUUGCAGCAAGCCUGGGGAGCUGUGCUUGGAUAGAUAAAAGCUGUUCUGUAAGCCUGUGUCUGAAGCUCCAUCAACAGGUCGAGCUGCGAGGAGGCUGACCCUUCACAGAAGUCAGAGUGGCGACCUGUAAAAUCCUGGCUUAGGAAAAUCUGCCUCCAUUGCUCAUCGGCUUUACUCAGAGCGGUUUGAACUAAAUGUGAGCUUGGGUAAGGAAUAAGUGCCCUGUUCAUGAAUGCCCAGGCUGUUAAACAAAAAUAGCACACAGGAAACGGUAUUGCAAAGGUCAGUUCUUCUGGAAAGGAAGGGACAAGAAACCAUCUAUCUGAAAUUUUAAUGAGCAGAUCCUGGCCUCUGACCCCGUACCCUGACCUAACAAUCCAAUACUGGAUGCCACGUCGGUUUCCAUUUCCUGUGAACGAGGAGGCAGAGUUCCCAUCCAAAGGCCAACCAUCUGCCGGACGUAAGAUUCUGUCUGCCUAGCUGGCUGUUAUGGAUGGGCACGGAGUCUUUAUGGAUAGAGUGUCAGUCCAGACGCCUUGCUUCAC